rnacentral:rRNA from 1 species
UACAGAGGGUGCGAGCGUUGUCCGGAAUCACUGGGCGUAAAGGGCGCGUAGGCGGAUCUUUUAAGUCGGGGGUGAAAGCCCAGGGCUCAACCCUGGAAUUGCCUUCGAUACUGGAGAUCUUGAGACCGGAAGAGGUAAGUGGAACUGCGAGUGUAGAGGUGAAAUUCGUAGAUAUUCGCAAGAACACCAGUGGCGAAGGCGGCUUACUGGUCCGGUUCUGACGCUGAGGCGCGAAAGCGUGGGGAGCAAACAGG